rnacentral:piRNA from 1 species
UGGUAUGAAUGCAUUCUCUCUCUGUC